CUCAAAUAAAGGCUCUGUUACCGCCUUUGUUUGCUUUACACCAUCCUAUGUCCUCACCCAAAAAUGGAAAAAAGGAAGAGAAAAUAACUUGUGCCCCAGACUCUUUCACCAACCAUUCCAAGGCCUUGAAGUCUUUCUUCAUUCCCCUCAGACUACGGGAUGCAGCUUCCUCCCCACUCAUCUGGAAGAUCACUAGCAGGCAGUAGUCUGUCGAGUGCACCAGGUUGGGGAGCACCCUGGUGAUAUCCCUGAUCUGGGCACCAGGUAGACUGCAGACUUCCCUGUGGUGAGGGUCAACUCUGCAUAUUGGGCCCUCUGUUCUUCUCAGAAGGGAAUCACCUACUACAAUUACUCUGCUUGCUUUCUUCUUGGAGGCAGUCUCUUGAGGGCCUCAAACCUAUUACGGAGGGGCACCUGGGGAAGCGAGGUAGGUAGGGAGGGGGGUUACCCACGAUGCUCCAUGAUCUUCCCAGUCACAGAGGUGAGGCUCACCGGCCUGUAGUUCCCCAGGUCUUCCUUUCUCCCUUUCUUAAAAACGGGAGUAAUGUUUCCCUUUUUCCAGUCACCAGGGACUUCACCAGAGAGCCAUGAUUUUUCAAAUAUGUUGGAGAGCGGCUCGGCAACCACGUCAGCCAUCUCUUUCAGAACCCUAUGAUGGAUAUCAUCCGACCCCAUGGACUUAUAUAUAUGUUAGAUGGACAUGUGAUAGUGUAAAGCUGAAGACUUGUUGCUGAGGGACUGUUUGUGUUACUGUUCAUUGGUUGUCUUUUGCUUGUUCUGGACUUCACAACACACAGCAGCUGUCACUGCUAAUAACACAUCGGAUUUUUCAUAUGAGGGGAAGGAAGAAGAUUGGGGCUCCAUUUCAUUUAUUUUUCAGUGGUGUUAAAUCAUAGGCUGGUAUCAUCCAGUCCCAGUGUCAGUGCGGUGUGUUGUUAUUGCCAAUGACUAAGAUUUUGCACGAUAAACAUCUUACUGCCUCACUUCCCUUUUUCCAGGCCUUCCGUGUUCCUCCUUUUUGUCUUAAAUGUCAUCAGAAGGACAUCUGGCAACAUUAAGCACAAAUGUAAAAGGCAGGUACAGAGAAGUGCUGUAGCUUUUGCUUUUUCCUUGUCCUCC
ensembl:lncRNA